UACGUAGGGGGCAAGCGUUGUCCGGAAUUAUUGGGCGUAAAGGGCGCGCAGGCGGUCUUUUAAGUCUUGUGUUUAAACCCGGGGCUCAACCUCGGGACGCACGGGAAACUGGGAGGCUUGAGUGCAGGAGAGGAAAGUGGAAUUCCACGUGUAGCGGUGAAAUGCGUAGAGAUGUGGAGGAACACCAGUGGCGAAGGCGACUUUCUGGCCUGCAACUGACGCUGAGGCGCGAAAGCGUGGGGAGCGAACAGGAUUAGAUACCCCCGUAGUCC
rnacentral:rRNA from 1 species